UACAGAGGUCCCGAGCGUUGUUCGGAUUCAUUGGGCGUAAAGGGUGCGUAGGCGGUCUGCUAAGUUUGGUGUGAAAUCCCGGGGCUCAACCCCGAAACUGCACUUGAUACUGCCUUGCUAGAGUACUGGAGAGGAGAUUGGAAUUUACGGUGUAGCAGUGAAAUGCGUAGAUAUCGUAAGGAAGACCAGUGGCGAAGGCGAAUCUCUGGACAGUUACUGACACUGAGGCACGAAGGCCAGGGGAGCAAACGGG
rnacentral:rRNA from 1 species